rnacentral:misc_RNA from 1 species
GGCAGGGGUGGUUGGGGACGCGGCAGGGGCCGUGGCUUCCGAGGCCGUGGCAGAGGUGGCUAUGGUGGUCGCUUCGACUAUCAACAAGAAGCUGGUGAUUACAAUGAAGAAGCCCCGAUGCCAUAUCAAGGUCGUGGUCGUGGAAGGGGGCCAAUGCGAGGAAGGGGCCGUGGUCCCAGAGCGAAUGGACCGAACGGGCCGAUCCAUGAAGUUGUCGGUGGCGAGCAAAUGGAAUGAAGAAGUUUAGCUAUGCAAAUUUCCAGUUUUAGGGUGUCGGAUGCCUGCUCCUUGUAAUGUCGAUGGUUGUGUUGCUUGGUUAUCGAUCGAGUUUAGACCGUAUAAGCUGUCCUUAUGUGGCCCGGUGACAGUGUUAUGAAUCUGUAGGCUUUAUUUUACAUAGGUUUUUGUUUCAGUUUUGUUUGUUUAGCUGAGAUUAAUUGUAACCCUUUUAGAGCAGUACAUUCUUUUAUUUUUUUUAAAGCUUGUAUUACCGAUAAAUGCAUGU